rnacentral:hammerhead_ribozyme from 1 species
AUUCAGAUGAUGAGUCCAAAAAAGGAUGAAAUGUGCAUCUAGGAU